AACGAACGCUGGCGGCAGGCCUAACACAUGCAAGUCGAGCGGACCCUUCGGGGUUAGCGGCGGACGGGUGAGUAACGCGUGGGAAUAUGCCCUUCUCUACGGAAUAGUCCUGGGAAACUGGGGGUAAUACCGUAUACGCCCUUUGGGGGAAAGAUGUAUCGGGGAAGGAUUAGCCCGCGUUGGAUUAGGUAGUUGGUGGGGUAAUGGCCUACCAAGCCGACGAUCCAUAGCUGGUUUGAGAGGAUGAUCAGCCACACUGGGACUGAGACACGGCCCAGACUCCUACGGGAGGCAGCAGUGGGGAAUCUUAGACAAUGGGGGCAACCCUGAUCUAGCCAUGCCGCGUGAGUGAUGAAGGCCUUAGGGUUGUAAAGCUCCUUCAGCUGGGAAGAUAAUGACGGUACCAGCAGAAGAAGCCCCGGCUAACUCCGUG
rnacentral:rRNA from 1 species